CAGUGUCUGAUAAUAGCAGGCGCGCGUGCACCUGCGCGGCUGCGGCGCCGAGCCUGCCUGUGCGCUGACGCCGAACAGUUGUCAGAGCAGCUGAUGAUCAGCGAUGAAGACAUGUUUCUAUUUUUUCAUUUUCCUGAACACAAACAGCGGCGCCGCGCGGCUUCCGGCGCCGCGGGCGCGCGCUCGCGCCUCGUCCCGCAGGCAGGAACCAGCAUCCGUCUCCGCCCGCGGCUCAAAUGGACCACAUAUCACUGCAUUUCACACGCAAACACUUUCUCAUCACACAAAUAAUCUGUGUGAACCACUCCCAAAUAACCAUUCAACACUUUGUGGAAGAAACGGCCCGCUGCACCUCGCUGGGACUCGAAGCAUCUUGAGCGUGAUUGUGUUUGUUUAUUUAUUGUGUUGUGAAGCGCGCAGCGGUUUGAUUUAAUGUGUGUAUUCAUUUCUUUUUAGCAGCACCCUGACGGAGACGCGUGCGUCGCGCGGCUUCCACUCGCCGGGAACAGUUGGGGGUUUUAUGGAGGGCAGUCUGGCUGUUUGGACAGACUUCUUCCAGGAGGAGCGGAAGGACUGAUCGGCUUCCCGGAGCCGCAGUGUAAUUAAAAGCGGAUAUUUAGGUGCAGGUGGGUGAACAGAGCGAGAUUAGGCGAGGGGCGGGGCUAGUGUUGACAGUGGCACGCUUUAAUGAGUCCUGGCUGGAGUCCAGCUCCGUUUCCCGCACGGAGCAUCAGCAGGUUUCAUCCUAGUUUGGACGGAACCGCUCCAGAGCCGGUGCGCGCGUUUCCUGCCGCUCACAGGGGAAUGAACCAUAGACCCCCCGCUGAGAGAAAAGGGGAAAGUCGCUGAGUGAUGCAUUCAGCCGCUCUGAAGGCGUAACUGGGCCGAUUCCUCCAGGGUCCAACUGGACCCGCCAGACGUGGGAAUGUGCACGGCCGAGUCCAAAGUGGGGGUUUCUAUCAAACACGAGGGCCACUGACGGAGACAGAGACAGAAAAUCAAAGACAGCCAUCGCCUGCUGAAACACACUGCAGCGGGAACGAGUCAAAGCAGAGUCAAGUCAAUCGCACGCAGUUAAUUAUUCAUCCAAUAGCGUCGUCCUUCUUCUUGGAGAGUGCGAUGAGCUGGAUCCUUAAGACGAGGAGUCUGUUGGGUCACACCGCCUCCAGGGAGCAUCCAGCGCAAACUGGCUUUGUGUUCUUCAGUUUCCAUUAUUGUGGACUCCUUUAUAUCAGGUUUUUGAUUUUUGAUGCAGCAGCAGUUCUGCUGAACUAUCUGUGUUUUUAUUUUGGUUCCAAAAUGUGCUUUUGUUAGUUUCAACAUUUCACUAUCUGAGAUGAUUAAUAAUUCAAAUGACAUUAAUCUGGCCCCGUGUGAGGGUUCAAGGUUUAAGGACACACAAACAAGUAGAACAAUGUACCCGUUCAGUGUCCUAGUGCGUUUCCUUUUGGACCAUAAUUAGAAAUAUUAAAUGAAGGUUAAUUGGAGUGCGGCUCCUGCAUUCGAGGUUGUGGUGCAGCUGCUCAGUGCCACAGCUGCUUUGUGCUGCAGAGGACGACAUAUUGUGUAGUUUUAUGAGCAAUUAAGAGUUUGCUGUUGUUUAAUGAGUUUAAAGCUACAGAUUGUCCAACUGUGUGAAUAAAUAUAAAUAUAAUGCAUUAUAAUAAUGUCUAAACAGUUAAAUGGUAACUGUCAGUUCAGUUUAAAUGAAUUGUAUAAUUACAGCACAGACACUAACACAGACUAAUUACUUUCUUCAUAUGCGCGUAUGACUCAGCGUCACGUGUUCAUCCAAACACUGGUUGGAAACCAAACACUGGUUUGACCGCGUGGAGGAAACGCCGCUGCAGUGCAGGAGGCCACUCUGGAGGAGAAACGAGCACUUUGCUGCUCAGAAGCACAGCCGUUAACUGCGUCUGUCAGAAACACGGGGCUGAGGCUGAGGUUGAUGUGCGUCUAACACGGACGUGCAGACACACGUUCCAGCUGAUAAAAGGGAAUGAUUUAAUACGGCACGAUCUAAUUGACCCCUCAUGCGUGAUCUCUGUGAGCGCUGACUCCUCCAGAACCAGCAGCUGAGAGCAUGAGGCUGAACCCAAAGUGGGAGCAUACGUCUUAGUCGGUUCAACUGUCAAGGGGUUCAGUUAAAGGAAACAUCUGGAAGCUGCCGAACGGCAUCGCAACAACGAGGCACGGUUUAAAACUGUUCCCCAGCAGUGAAGCAGCUACAAAAUGUAUUUGAACUGAUGUGUCUGUGUCUGUGUCAGCAGCAGCAGCAGCGAAGCAGCCGUGACUCGUUCUGGAAGCCAUUACUGGACUGGACCUGCACAGGUUCUGGUCGACACGUUUCAGUGGAUGGUGCUUUUUACUCUGGUAAUGUUAUUUACUCUGCCAACAGUAAAGCACUGGUAAAAUGGAGAAAUCAGUCUGCCAACUGGAAGUGCUCCGACUCCAAACCUCAUCAGACCCACGGACAGUAAAUCAUGAAGCAACACAAUGAGUGGAGGAAACUAGCAUCAGGUUAUUGACUUUUUUUGAGUAGUCUUAGUUCCCAAACAUCCAAAGUGACACUAGCGUGAAAUCUCCCCUUCACUAAAACCCAGACAGACUGAGAGAGAGCUACUGUACGAAGCUAUAGAUGUCGACUCAUUCCUCCUUGUUACCACUGCUCCCGGAGUCGAAAACGAGGUGCGAGGUCUCUGAGCGGUUUAUCAGACGACAGCAGAGGAGAUGAAAAUAGAACAACUGUAAAUUAGACACCUCAUUAAAGCACAACAGAGAAAAAAAUAAUAAUGUCUCGUAAUUUUGGCCUCGCCAGGCAACAUGUUUGCUCUUAAUCAGCGAGAGGCUGCGUCGGUCGGUGAUUGUCAGGGGAUUUCUGUGUUGGUUAUGUGCAAUUACGUAUUUGGCAUUCAACGAGGCUGCACAGCAAUAAACUGGCUUUGUGUUAAUCCAAGAUUAAUUCUCAGGAGUAUUAGAUCAAGCAGGGGGUUUCAUACUGGGGAGAUGUAAAAUACUCACUUGAGAUUCAUCAGUAAAUAUAUAAAACUCAUGAUGGGAGUCCGUGCAC